AGUUUGGUGGGAUGCUGGUAACCGUAGGUUGGCGACUGUGGUCUGGAGCGCGAGAGGGUGAAUGACAGUCGCCGCGGCUUCCUGGGCUGCGCCUGCGGCUUCUUCCGUCCCCUGUGCGUCCAGAAGAAGGGAGCCUUGGAAGCGCAGCCCGUCUGAAGGAAGGAGCUCUGCUUAGGAUCCCUUUCCUCCCGCGGGACCUAAAAGAGGGUCCCGCGGGGAGCGGUGCUCCUGUGAGGGAAGAACGGGGACCCCCUCUCCCCCUCCCCCCCACCCAUAUCUCGGCGGGGAAAGGAAAGGACGGCUGGGGCGUCCCGGAGGGUGCAGGAGGCUGCUUUUAUUCGUCCGUUGAACGGAAGCUCACUGUUUUUUUUUCUCUCUCCAAAUUCCCGUUUCCCUCACCAGGGCGAAACGGGGGAGGAGGAGGCUGCAGGCCCCUUGCCUUUCCUUCUCUUCCAUCCUCCCAGGCAAAUAGGACAAUGGUGCAGAAGAGGCCGAAGUAACCGCUUAGGCUGGAAAGAGAACGGCAGUGAGGGCCAGGUGCUGGUUUUGUGUGCGUGUGUGCGUGCGUGCGUUUGUCCCUGAGAAAAGCGAGGGGGGUGAGGAGGUAUUUUGACUUCCCCACUUUCCUUUUGGCGCCUUCCCUUUCUUGCCCACUAAUUCCCUGUCUCUGUCCCCCUUCCCUUCCCCACAUUUGCUUAUCAUCCUCGCUAUCCUCUUCCUCCCCUGGUCCCUGCCAGAUCCGUUAACAGGGUCUCUUUGCUGUGGAAGAUGGCGAAACCAGGGAUGAGCUGGCAACACCACUAUUACAGUGGCAGCUCCUCGACCAACACUGGAAAAUUCAACACCACCUCUUCUUCAGUGACGUCCUCCCAGUUUGGCAUGGAAUACAACCACGAUCUCCAUCUCAAAAUGAGCAAGAAAAUAGCUCAGUUAACCAAGGUAAUAUAUGCUUUGAACACAAAAAAUGAUGAACAUGAAGCUGCUAUGCAAGCUCUCAAGGAUGCUCAUGAAGAAGAAAUUCAACAAAUCCUUGCAGAAACCAGAGAAAAGAUUUUGCAAUAUAAGAGUAAAGUUUCUGAAGAAAUGGAUCUAAAAAGAAAGAUCCAGGUUUUAGAAGAGUCUUUGGAAGAUCACAAAAAGAUGAAGCAUCAAGCCUUAACUGAAUUUGAGGCUUAUAAAGACAGAGUUGAGGAUAUGCAACUCUGUGCAGAAGCUCAGCAUGUCCAACGUGUUGUAACUAUGUCACGUGAAGUGGAAGAAAUUAGAAAGAAAUUUGAGGAAAGAUUACGAAGUUUUAUACAGCUGCAAUUACAGUUUGAGAAGGAUAAACGUUCAGCUCUUGAAGAGCUGAAAGCUGCACAUAGACUUGAGGUCCAAGAACUUAUGAAGGCACAUCAAAAUCAGAAUAUUACUUUAAACAAAGGACAGGAAAAAUUGGAAGAAUCACACAGGCAGGAUGUAGAACAGUUGAAUGCCAAAGUAGAAGAGCUAAGAAUGGAAAGAAAAAAACUCAUUGAGGACUAUGAAUGUAAACUCAGCAAAGCUCAAUCUUUCUAUGAACAUGAGCUUGAUACUAUGAAAAGAUCACAAUUGUUUACAGCUGAAAGCCUGAAAACCUGCAAAGAUAAGGAAGUGGAGCUAAGAAAGGAAUUUCAGAGUCAAGAAUCAGUUAUACGAAAAAAUCUGGGGAAGCUUAAGACUGAGUUGCAGAUGGUUCAGGAUGAAGCAGGCGGUCUACGAGAAAAAUGUCAGAAGCUUCAAGUGGCUCUAAGUACUGCAGAAAACAAUGUACAGGCUCUUCAAAAACAACUAGAUGAUGUCAAAGAGGAGGAAAUGUCAUUGUUAAGCAAACACAAAGAGGUUGAAAUUGAAUUAGCAGCUGCAAGAGAGCGCUUACAACAACAAGCCACAGACCUAGUACUAAAAGCUAGUCACAUUGGAAUGCUUAAAGCUACUCAAAUGACUCAGGAAGUUACAAUAACAGAUUUGGAAUCAGAAAAAUCUAGAUUAAAGGAGAAAUUAUCUCAGCUGGAAGAGGAAAGAAAUGUAUUACACAGUAAAACACAAAGUCUGGAUGAAAGACAAAGGCAGCAAAUUCUUACACUGGAGCAGAGAGUAAAUGAAGCAAGGGAAACACAACGAGAAUAUUAUGAAAAGGAGCUAAUGAAAUUGCAAGCCAGACUGGAAGGGGAGGCUACGCAGCUAAAUGAAGCUCAUUCCAAGGCUUUGGAGGAGUUGGCAUGGAAACAUAAUACUGCUCUUGAAGCAGCACAUAGCAAUGCUAACAAAGAGAAAAAGAAACUGCAAAUGGAGCUUGAGCAGCAAUUUGAGAAAGAGAAACAACAUUUUGAAGAUGAGAAAAAUCAGCUUCGACAGCAGUUGGAAAGCCUGAGGGAAGAGCUAACCACCAAACUGACUUCCUCCAAUCAGGAGAUGGAGCAUCUACAGGAUCUCUUUAAAAAAAGUGAACAGGACCUUAGUAGUGCAGAAGAGCACGUUUCUAGCCUCCAGAAGACCCAAGAAAUAUUGCAGAAAGAAUUAGAACUAACCCAGUCAAAACUGAGAGAAACCACUGAUUCCCUGUAUAACGCUGAGGGGGAGUUAGACCAGGAGAGACAGCACCAUGAAGCAAUGAUUGUAACCAUGAGGGAAGAGGAGAAAUUAAAACUGGAUAGAAUGGCUCGUGAUCUGGAAAUAAAAUGGACAGAAAACCUUCGGCAAGAAUGUACAAAACUCAGAGAAGAAUUGAGACUUCAGCAUGAAGAAGAUAAAAAGUCAGCAAUGACACAACUCUUGCAGCUAAAAGAGAGAGAGAAAAAUGCCACCAGAGAUAGCUGGCAGAAAAAAGUAGAAGAUCUUUUGGAUCAGAUCACUCUGCUAAAGCAAAACCUAGAAAUGCAACUUUCACAGUCUCAGACCACAAUGCAGCAAUUGCAGGCACAGUUUAGCCAAGAGCGACAGAGACUGGCGCAAGAAAUUGAAGAACUGGAGCAAGAGCAUCAACAGAGACAUAAGUCCAUGAAAGAAGCACAUAUCCUGGCAUUUCAGAACUUGGAAGUAACAAAAGGACAAGAGCAAAAGGAGCUUGAGGAACACUUGCAACAGAAGCAUUCAAAGGAACUUCAGGCACUGAAAGAGGCACACAGACAAGCCAUGGAUGCUUUCAAAAUAGAAAUGGAACAAGAAAUGCAGACCCUUCGCUUUGAAUUGGAAGAUGAAGGGAAAGCAAUGCUUGCAUCUUUGCGCUCUGAACUUAAUCAUCAACAUGCUGCAGCAAUUGAUCAGCUAAGGCACAAUCAUCAACAAGAAGUAGCAGCAGCUAAAAUGGAACUUGAAAGAAGCAUAGAACUCAGCAGGCACCAGGAAAAAGAAUUUAUGUGCCGAGUAUCAGAUCUACAGGAUGAACUGAGACAUCGAGACCACCAUAUAUCAGAGUUGGAUAAGGAAACACUUGCUUUGCAUGAGAACAUAAGUGCAUUAACCAAAGAACUGGAGUUCAAAGGGAAGGAAGUUCUACGAAUACGUAGCGAAUCUAACCAGCAAAUUAGGCUACAUGAACAAGAUUUAAGCAAGAAACAUGAGAAAGAAUUGGAUGUCAUGACAGCUGACCACAUCAGAGAGAAACAAAGCAUGCUGGCAGAUUUUAAUAAGACCCAAGAGCUGCUCAAGGAAAUUAAUUCAGCUUUGCAAGUUUCUUUAGAAGAAAUGGAAGAUAAAUAUCAAAACAGGGAAUCAAGGCCAGAAGACCUGCAGCUUAUUGCAGAGAUGAAAGACCUGAUUGCUGAGAGGGAUCAGCUGAUAAAGAAGCUGAUUGAUGACAAAAAAUUCUAUCAACUUGAACUAGUCAAUAGGGAGACUAACUUCAACAAACUGUUUAAUGCAAGUCCUAAUGUUGGUGUUAUUAAUCCUCUAGUAAAGCAAAAGAAGAAGAAUGAUAAAUCAGCAAACAGGUUUGUGAGUGUCCCCAAUCUAAGUGCUUUGGAAUCUAGUGGAGUGGGCAAUGGACAUGCUAACCGCUUGGACCCUAUUCCUAAUUCAUCCAUCCACGAUAUUGAGUUCAACAGCAGCAGACCACUUCCACAGCCAAUACCACCCAAAGAGCCCAAGAUGGUUUUGAGACGCCAUUAACAAGCAUGUGCAUGAAUUCAUGAAUUGUGAUGAUGGAGUUUCCUUUACAAAUUAUUUCGUUCCCUGAUUUGUCCUAUAAACGCCCUCCUCAGACUGAAGCUUCUCCAAUGGCUUCACCAGAUCCACAACGUCAGGAAUGGUUUGCUCGUUACUUCACAUUCUGAAAGAUUAUUUUUGAAUGGCACAGCAUGGUGUGGACUGUACUGUUCCUAAUAGCAUGACCUUAAAAUAAACCCUUAUGUGAAACAAGCUUUCUUGUAAUAUGUUAAACACUGUGAAUGAGAACGUAUUUGUCUCUCUGAUUUGAAAAUGCACUGUAUUUUAUGUGAUACUUGUUGGAAUCACUUGACAUAGUUAUAUAAAUGUGCUUAAUGACACUUAUUUUUAUUUAAAAUUGAAAAGUAUUUAAACUUUGUAAUUACUGCAUAAUAAAAUUUCAUAGAAUAAAUGCAAUCUUUCCUCCACUUUUCCUAUAAGUAUGUAUUUUCUUUGGUUUCAGGGAAGGCUUUCACAUCCCAUUUCUCCCUCAAAUGCAAUUAAUUGCAUGGUUAUUAUAUAUUAAAAUAAAUUGUCAGCAAUUUAAAAAUCAGACUAUGGCAAAGUAUGUUUAAAUCCAUAUAUUUUUAAUUAACUUAGAGAACUGACUUUAAAAAUUGUGGUUUAUUCUAAAAGUGGUGAAGAAUGCUAAAUUAUAAUAGUAUAUAAAGCUGAGUGGUGUUAAGAUUAUAGUAAGAAAAAUGACAUAAAUAUUGUAAUGUUGAAUUUCACCAACUUUUGUCAUAAGUGUUUUAUAAAUACAUACAGAGAUAAUGCUCUUUAGAACAUUUGAGUUAUUACACUAGGUAAUGCUGUAUUAAUAAAGAAUAAUUUAUGGAAAGCUGCAUUUUGAGGAUAUUAUCCUUUGGGCAGAACUCAGGCAUUAAUGAAAAAAUAGUGCUAAACAAACUAAUUAUGCAUAAUAAAGCAUGCAAAUCUUUCAUUAGCGCUCCAGCAUAAAUGUAAACAUUUUUCUCUUCCAUUACAAAAUUAAGCCAAAACCAUGCAACCUUUUUCACCUGGAGAAUGAGCCUGAUUUUCCACUCUAUUACACCUGUCUUACAAUUGUGCAGGUUUUCUGGCAGAAAAGAUGUGAUACACUGGCAGAUCUGGUUUUUAUAUAUUUUGUUGAUACUAUUGCUGUUAUUUCCAAGAUUACCACAAUAAAACUAACACUGGUAAUCUCAGGAAGAAACUUUUCAUUGUUUUAUGAAUGUACUUUUAAGAUCUGAUCUUUGUAUGCAUAAAGGGGGAGUGGGGAGAUUGCUUGGUUAUUUUAAAAACAGUUUUUAUUCUUAGAUACAAAAGUAUAUCUCUUCAUUAUUUCUGCUAAAGCCUGACUGCGUCUUCCCAUUAUGCAAAAGCAUAAUCAAUCAAUGGUAUCACCAAUAGUAUAAUAGUGAGUUUUAUAUGUAGCAUAUGUACAAAAAAUUUCUAUGUUUUCAUAUAAAAUGUUCUAAUCAAACUUUUAAAAUUGUAUCUCCUGUAAACUCAUCCUGAAUGCUUCACUGGAAGCAGUGUUCUAAUGCUCUCCUGCUAAUCUAAAGCGGUAUUUGGCAGAUAUUCUGUGGUCUGUGUAAAGGUACAUGCGGCCUUUGCAUUAGAAGAAAGCCAUAUUAAGUUAAAGUUGGAUUUCUUGGCUGUUACCUAUAAUAAAAUAUACUGGAUAAUUUUGCAAUGAUAAUCUGAAA